UGAACCAAUGACGACAGAGUAUAAGGAACUGAGAAUAAAGGUUAAUCUAAUUUUGUGUACCUCAGGUCUGAU
rnacentral:snoRNA from 1 species